rnacentral:rRNA from 1 species
UACGUAGGCAGCGAGCGUUGUUCGGAAUUACUGGGCGUAAAGAGUGUGUAGGCGGUGCUCUAAGUUCGGUGUGAAAUCUCCUGGCUCAACUGGGAGGGUGCGCCGGAAACUGGAGUGCUUGAGCGUGGGAGAGGAAAGCGGAAUUCCUGGUGUAGCGGUGAAAUGCGUAGAUAUCAGGAGGAACACCUGUGGUGUAGACGGCUUUCUGGACCAUAGCUGACGCUGAGACACGAAAGCGUGAGUAGCAAACAGG